rnacentral:misc_RNA from 1 species
GUGUCAUGAAGACUCAUCCCUUCGGGUUUCCGACUGGAUGGAUUUGGGCGUCUGCCAUCUCUGGCUCGCCUUAAAAGACUAAGUGGUUGUAUAGGACGUAACAAGUUUCGCCCUCAGACUGCUCAUAACCCCACCCUUGACUUGUCAAGGCAAUUCUUUAAUCUGACCUCAAAUCAAGUAAGACUACCCGCUGAACUUAA